CAAUAUCUUCUUCAGAUCCUAUUGUGAUUGCUGGAACAGCUGGAGCACUCUUUAUUGCGUACCUCUUACUUCCUCCAAUUUGGUCUAGCAUCACCUUCAACUUCCGUGGUUGCAAAGGUGAACUUAUUUCUCUUUGUUUGCAGAGGUGUUGUGUCUCCAUCAAGAGUCAUCAUUGCAGUUGUUAGAGGUUUUGGAACAACCUCCCAAUCAAGUACCAAGCUUCUUUCCGGAGCUGAUUGAUUCUCUUUUCUUUUUUUUUUUAUUUUUUUUAUUUGCAAAUACAAAUCUACCCCUUGUGUAUGUUCAAGUCAUCCUUGUUUUUUGUUUCAUCAUUUUCUCAUAA